rnacentral:rRNA from 1 species
UUGGACCUGAUAUCAGGCAAGAUUACCCGCUGAACUUAACUAUA